rnacentral:rRNA from 1 species
AUUGAACGCUGGCGGCAUGCCUUACACAUGCAAGUCGAACGGCAGCACGGGAGCAAUCCUGGUGGCGAGUGGCGAACGGGUGAGUAAUAUAUCGGAACGUGCCCAGUAGUGGGGGAUAGCCCGGCGAAAGCCGGAUUAAUACCGCAUACGACCUGAGGGUGAAAGCGGGGGAUCGCAAGACCUCGCGCUAUUGGAGCGGCCGAUAUCAGAUUAGCUAGUUGGUGGGGUAAAGGCCUACCAAGGCUACGAUCUGUAGUUGGUCUGAGAGGACGACCAGCCACACUGGGACUGAGACACGGCCCAGACUCCUACGGGAGGCAGCAGUGGGGAAUUUUGGACAAUGGGCGCAAGCCUGAUCCAGCAAUGCCGCGUGCAGGAAGAAGGCCUCGGUUGUAAAGCGUCUUUCGGUCCGGGACGGAAAGUACGCACAGGUUAA